rnacentral:lncRNA from 1 species
AUGUCAGAGAAGACUAUUGCAAAUGACAUUUUAAAAUAUGGGACUCAAUCAGUUUUGAAAUCCAACGAUCCUCAAUCACAAAUAAGAAAAGAAGAUGAGGAAGUGGAUAGCCCAGUACUGGCCGAUGACGCCUUUGACGACUCUUCAAGUUCCUACUGCACUGCCCUUUGUUCUCUUAGUGACUACAGUGAAGCUUUGGAGGAUGAGGAAUGCAUGAUCUGUGCUGAGCCUCAGUGUGUGGAUGCUUCAUCUCUAGCCACUUUCUUUGCUGAUCCUUCAGGAGGAACAUCUUCAACCACUUGGCCUGAGACUGCUGUCCCACUGAAAGAGCUAAAAACUGAGGAAGCUGAAGAUACCAGAGCUAAGAUACCGAAACCUUUUCUAUCAAGUCCUAGCAUUGUACAUUUGAAUUCCAUAAAUACCAAUUCUGCAGAUGUGGAGCAAUACAAUGCUAAACUACUAAAAGAGCUUAAACAAGAGGAAGAUGAAGAUAUGGGAACUUCAGAGGACAUUCUAGGGGAAAAAUCCGCAUACAUAAGGGAUUUUCCAUCAAGUCCCAAUGUUAUAAAUUUGACUUCUGUAAAUAUAAAUUUUGCCGUUUUGGAGCAAUACAAUGAAGUCCCAUUAAAGGAGUUUAGACAAGGGGAAGAGAAAGGUGAAGACAUAGGGACUCCAUUGGAAGUUCAAGGUGAAGAAUCCCUAUACAUCUGGGAUGAAAUCUCUUUAUCUGCCAGAGAUCCACUCUUGUUACAAUCAAAAUCUUUUCUGUCAAGUCCUAACUCUGUGGAGCAAAACAAUACUGUCCAAUUAAACGAGCUUACACCAGAGGAAGAGAAAGAGGAAGAUAUAGGAACUGCACAGGACAUUCUAAGUGACGAAUCCCUAUACAUAUGGGAUAAAGUCUCUUCAUCUGCCAGAGAUCCACUCUUGUUGCAAUCAACAUCUUUUCUGUCAAGUCCUAACUCUAUAAAUUUGCCUUCCGGAAAUACAAAUUCUGCAGAUUCAGAGCAAUACAAUGCUUUCCCAUUAAAGGAGCUUAAACCAGAGGAAGAGAAAGAGGAAGAUAUAGGAAAUGCACAGGACAUUCUAAGUGAAGAAUUCCAAAAUAUACGGGAUAACAUCUCUACAUUUGCCAGAGAUCCACUCUUGCUACAGUCAAAACCUUUUCCAUCAAGUCCUAACAUUAUAAACUGGAAAUUUGCAAAUGCCUUUGCUGCAGAUGUGAAGCAAUACAAUGCUAUCCCACUAAAAGACCUUGAACCAGAGGAAAAUGAAGAUAUAGCUUCACAGGACACUCUAAGUAAAGAAUCCCUAUCCAUACAGGAUGAAGUCUCUACAUCUGCCAAAAAUCCACUCUUGUUACAUUCAAAACAUUUUCGAUCAAAUCUUAAUGUUAUAAAUGUGAAUUCUGCAGAAGUGGAGCAAUACAAUGCUGUCCCUCUAAAGGAGCUUAAAGCAGGGGAAGAAGAAGAUGAAGAUACAGGAACUUCACAGCACAUUCUAGAUGAAAAAUCGCUAUAUGUACCUUUUCCAAGAAUUUCCAACAAAAUAGAUUUGAAUUCUGUGAAUACCAAUUCUGCAGAUUCUGACCAAUCCAGUGCUGACCUACUAAGACUAAAAAGGAAAGAGUCUUUAUUGAAACCAUGGGAUUAUUUCAGAAGCAGCAUAACUAAUGUCAAUACCCAACAAAGCAGGUUUACAGCAGGCAUUACUGACGAAUAUCCAUUUAAACCUGACAGAAUCUCUUUACCUGGCAAAUAUUUAAACGUAUUAGAAACUAAAUCUUCAUCCUCAAAUCCCAAAAGAAAUCUCCAAAGUCUAAAUAUAAUAAACUCUGUAGAUACUGGAACAAAGACUGCUCAACCAGUUGACUCAUUCUGCACAAAUCCUUUGCUAAACUCCUGUGAUUAUUUCAACAACAGCAAGACUACCACCCCAACAAAUACCACUCUUGUUGAGCAAUCUGAGUGCCUGGAACCCACAUUUAUCUCCAACACUAUUUUAACCACAAGCAAAGUAAAUCAAUACAACCAGGAAGUGGGGCAACAACAAAGUGGCACUAAGUCAAAAGCAGACCCUUUAACACAUCAGCAAAGCUUGAGAGAUGGUCCCAAUAAACUCGGUCCUGAGGACAAGCUUGACAGAGGCGGGUCUAUGGCUGGUCAUAGAAAUUGGGAGGGGGAGGAGCAGGGUAGAAGGGUCGAAAAGGAGCAGGCAGAGCUGUCACUCAAGGCUAGAAAUAGAAAACCGCCUGCAUGCUGCAUCUCAACACUCACAGCCAACAAGCAGAAGUCAGGAAUCCCGCCACGCUGUUAUUCAGAGCGUAUCCUCGCAACCGGGCACCAACACCCACCACGGAGCCCUCCUGUUUCUUGGAGGUGGCAAAAGCAGAGCCGUCAAGGCGUCUUGCUGUCGAGUUCGCUUCCACCGAAACCCUGCAGCACCGCCAGGCAGCAUUGCAGUGCUGCAGACAAUACCAAAGACGCGUUCAACAUGGCAACAAAGCUUGUAAAGACAAACACUGAAGUGAGAAGCCUGGACACUCUGGAUCAUGCAAGAUCCUCUUGUCCUGAAGCUAACUACUUGGAUGUUUUCAGCUCUAGCCGCUGGUCCUCAAAUCAGCUGUCUCCGGAUGAAGGCUUCCAUGAUUUGUCAACGGAUGUUCUUUCCAUCAAGUUGCCGAUGAUUUCAACAAAGUCCCACAACACUUCAGCCUGCUCAGAGGCUAGCAGUGUUGAGUGCAUUGAUGUGGCCUUGGAGAGUCGAGAAGAGGUGAAUAGAGGGGCAAAGACUGUACCUAAGAGACAGAUUCAACUGAAAAGACGAGACGCUGCAGAUUCUCAAACAAAUGAAAACAUCAGCAAUGAUGGCCUCCUUAUCCCAGCUACAUCCAGCCGUCCUCGAGACAUCCUUCAGCGUCAGCACAGUACCCCAGCAGCAUUUCACCAGGACUCACAUGGAUCGGAACUGAAGUUGGCCCAAACUGAGCGAAAGCAGAGACUCCAGAAGUCCCUUUCCCUGGAUGAAACAUCCAGCAAAACCAAAAAGGCUUCCUGCCUCAUUAAGACCAUACUUUCAAAGAAGAUGCAAGAAGAAGAGAAUCUUCGUACGGAUGAAGUUUCUAACCGAGCCUUUGCUCCUAUCAAAGCCUACAACUCUGCCAGCAACAGUGAACACUUAACUGCUUCUACUAAGGAGGUGUGCGUUGAAACUACAACUAAAGUGAACCUAACUACAGGUCCUUUUUUAAGUUAUAGCUCUUCUUCACAAAGUACUGUUAAAGAACAUAUCAGCGUAAGCUCAAAAAUACAACCUAAGAUGAUGACAAAACACAGCUUUAAUCCUCUAUUCAGUGCCAGGUCUGAAUUUCCAGACAUUGGUACUGAAAUAACCACCUUUCCAGAGAAGAGUGAGAAAGAGAACUUGAGUUCCAGUAAGGAGGGAGCAUGGAUCGCUAGCCAGAGCUCAGGAGAGAAGCUUUCCUGUGACUCAGCAAAAGGCAAGGUAUGGAACUCGAGUGCAGGCAUGGGCAAACAGGCCACGAUGAAAACCACACCUGAGGAAUGCUUCGCAGUGCAGAGAGGCCAUAAACAACACAAUGUCAAAACUGACCUUAUUACCAGCAUGGUGAAACAAGUGAAACAAGGUGAGAGCAAAGAAAGUACACAGUGUCUCACAAUGGCUGGCUGUUUGGCUUAUGAUCAGGAUGUGAGAACACUGGGCAACAUUCUGUCUCCGUCUGGUCAGUGCAGCCCUGAAAAAGAGCCGGAGCAUGACAGGGAAGAUCCCAGGCCACCUGGACAGUCAGUAAACAUGGGUAUUCAAAGCCAGGGGAAAUUUAAAGCCAUCGCCCCUGUGCAUGUGGUGAGGGAUAUGCGGAGUCUGGUGAAAAACACAUACAGCCUGUCAUUCAGGGGUCCUGGUGAAGCAGCACAGGGGACAGAGAACAGUAUGCCUGGAUUUUCAGCUGCAUCACCUCAUCAAAUUAGCAGUAAGGGGGAGGACAGGCGAAAGGGAUUCAAGCAGGAUGAAAAAGCACAAGUGCGGAAAGUGACUCCCCCACUUGCAUUGGACAGGAUCAGGGAUUUGGCCUCUCUUCAUAAGACUCCCAAAGGAUGUGCAACUAAACCUACAGCUCCCCUCGAAUCACAUGACAAAUCUCCUACUGCUGCAUUCACAAAGGUCAGCCCAAUUAUUGCAGCCAAGGCAAACAGUUGUGCCUUGUCUAAAUCCCCUGAGGCGCAGUGCAUUCGGAAAUCCAUCAGCCAAGCUGAUGUCCAAGGUAACAUCACAAACUUGAAACAAACAAACCUGGCAGGCAUGCAGGCACUGCAGAGUAACAACAAGACCUCAACUGAGAUUUCCAAAAACAGGCAGUCUGAGAACUCCAGCAAGCUGGAAUAUAAGAAACAGCAGGACUCUGUGGAGCAGAGGCAGCAUCUGGCUCAGCACUACUGUCCACCUACACUGAGUUCAAGUUCUGAGGAGCUGGAGAGCUGUAAGCCAUCAGAUCAAAUAUUCUCUACGGUCAAAGAUGAUCGCCAGACCCCAGGCCCACCUCCCAGACCACAGAGCACGGCUGGGCCAGCCCCUGCCUGCAUCCUAACUGUUGCUCCAACACCAGUACUCCCACAAUACUUCUACAAAGCCAAUCCGUUGGGCUACCAGACAGUUUCCCCCCAUAUGGGAACAGUUAGCUAUGUUCAAGGCCCUGUCAUGCUGCAAACACCACCUAUCAACCAGCCUGCUGCUGCAAACUGUCCUAUCCCUUUGAUGAGAUCGCUAUCUGAGGAAGUAAGAUUACUAUCUCAGCCAUUCCCAACAGAUGGAAGCUCAGUACAGCAAAGAUCAAGCAUGCAACAAACAGAGAAUGGGGAAAUCAGACUGAAGAUGGCCACUCCGGAUACUCAGCAAUGCACAGCUUUCGUAGCAACCUUGGGUGCCGAGGUCAUGCAAGGGAGCACCAGUAUGCUGUAUCAGGAAAUGGGUGGAGGCCUGGCACAGAGUCCUCGGCAACUGCUGUUGGACCCCGAAACUGGCCGCUGCUUCUAUGUGGACAUGCCUCAGCUGCCACAGCGCAAAAUGUUGUUUGACCCACAGACCUGCCAGUAUGUCGAGGUCCUACUGCCACAGCAAACAAUUCCCAGCCCAGUUAUGCCUUCCCCGUGUGCUAUACCCGUGCCUUCCCUUCACAUCCCUGCCAUUUACACUCCACACUGCCUGCCUUAUGUCCAGGCACACCCUCAGCUGCUGCCACCACCAGGACCUUGA